UUGUUUCCUUAUUUUCUUUUUUUAAAUUUAUUUUAAACAGAAUAAGUCUUUUUGAAACUAUUAAAAUUUUUGUUUAAACUUCCUAAAUUUUAGUUAAUAAAUGUUUACACAUUUUCUCAAUUCAUAUUCCAUUGAAAAACCCAACAGCCAUGCGGCUGGGUUUAAUUUUCUGUUUUUCUUGGUAGUCCAACAGGCUGUUUUUUAUAUUAGUUUUUAUUUUUAUUUAUAUUUUUAAUCUAUCUUGGUUUAUUUAUCCAAAUUAGCAUUAAGA
rnacentral:lncRNA from 1 species